CGGACGGGUGAGUAACACGUGGAUAACCUACCUAUAAGACUGGGAUAACUUCGGGAAACCGGAGCUAAUACCGGAUAAUAUAUUGAACCGCAUGGUUCAAUGGUGAAAGACGGUUUUGCUGUCACUUAUAGAUGGAUCCGCGCCGCAUUAGCUAGUUGGUAAGGUAACGGCUUACCAAGGCAACGAUGCGUAGCCGACCUGAGAGGGUGAUCGGCCACACUGGAACUGAGACACGGUCCAGACUCCUACGGGAGGCAGCAGCU
rnacentral:rRNA from 1 species